AACGAACGCUGGCGGCAUGCCUAACACAUGCAAGUCGAACGAUCCCUUCGGGGAUAGUGGCGCACGGGUGCGUAACGCGUGGGAACCUGCCCUUAGGUUCGGAAUAACUCAGAGAAAUUUGAGCUAAUACCGGAUAAUGUCUUCAGACCAAAGAUUUAUCGCCUUUGGAUGGGCCCGCGUUGGAUUAGCUAGUUGGUGGGGUAAAGGCCUACCAAGGCGACGAUCCAUAGCUGGUCUGAGAGGAUGAUCAGCCACACUGGGACUGAGACACGGCCCAGACUCCUACGGGAAGCAGCAGUGGGGAAUAUUGGACAAUGGGCGAAAGCCUGAUCCAGCAAUGCCGCGUGAGUGAUGAAGGCCUUAGGGUUGUAAAGCUCUUUUACCCGGGAUGAUAAUGACAGUACCGGGAGAAUAAGCCCCGGCUAACUCCGUG
rnacentral:rRNA from 1 species